GGCUCUCCAGGCGGCAGACAAAAGGAAUGCCAGGUUUUAAAGGGAAGCAUGGACAUGUUGGCUUCCCUGGGCAGAAGGGUGAUGCUGGGCCUGUUGGCCCACCGGGGUCAACUGGUAGACCAGGACUUGAGGGUGAUGCUGGAACCCCAGGGCCUCAGGGUCGACCCGGUCCCCCAGGACACCUUG